GUGAAAUUGUGAUAACUCCUGGCACAACCAUUAAGACCCUCAUCUAUAGUGAAUUGGAACAAAGCACAGGAAGUUUUAAUAAAAGAAAUCUGAGGCCUGGAAUUCCAUGUCUACCAUUCCUCACAGCAAACCUGUGACUGUAACACAGAUUGAUGAAAGAUUCUGCAGGACGACAAAGGUUAAAGAUGCAGACCCGGAGCUAGAAGCCAGCACUGACACUGAUGGAGUGGACUGCGAUGAGAAUGCCCACAUUAUUGUCCUAUCCUCUGAUAACCAAUGUAAUAUGAAAACCGACUACAGAAGAAAGGAACAAAUUAAGUCCAUUAAUCAAGCAUAUCUCUGCUAAACAGUUGUUCGAAACUGAUGAACAAAUGAAAAAUUUACUGUUUGUUUUCAUGCUUGCAAGGAUUGGGGAAGAAAAUUAAUUAUAAGGUACUGGCCACACUAUCAGUUAAGUUUUUCUUGAGGAAACUAUUGCUUUGUCAAAGGACAAAUGAACCUCAUUAGGGAGAUUAGUUUCAGCUGGUAGUUUUGCAUUAGUACAAACUAAUAAUACACACUUCAAAAGAUACCCUGAGUAAGAUUAUGAAAAUUGAAAUCCAUUUGUUACUUCUUAAUUUACUAACUGUUAGAAAAUGACCACUCUAUUACUUAUCAUGAAACCAGAAGGAAAUCAAACACUGCUCACCUUUCAACUAAGUGCCUGAAAGAGAACUGUUGCAGUGUGGGCUUUGUGAGUGCUGCGAUGAUGAACUUACGCAUACAGGGGUUAUAACUUGGCCACGGCAUUUUACUCUUAUGUUGAAGCAUGUCAUGCAGAGCUCCAUGCCAAACGCAAUUUUUGAUAAGCUUCUUUGAAAUCCUUUUCUUUUCAAAUGUUUUAAAUGAAUUGGACAAAUAGCAAACUGACAUCUGAUAUUCUGAAUUCCCCUUAAAUCUAUACAGAGCAAGAACAGAAAAGAGAAAACGCUACUUUGCUAUCAAUCCUGUAUGGCCAGUGCACUGAGGCUCCUAAGCUGGCCACAGUGAGUGCAGUCCAGCUUCAAUGUUCAUUGAAUCCCUGGCCCUUCUGUCAAGGCAGCUAAGAACAGAGCCAAUCACUGCUCUCGGUGACGGGGAGUGCUUGGCUGCAGACACACGUCUUCCAAAACCUGGAGUGAGACCAGUCUCAUUCCAAAGAGUGUAUAAAUCAGCUGUGAAAUAAUAAUGACUUUUUUGGGUUCUACUGACCCGGCCUGGAUUCAGACUGCUGACCCAGAAAAGAAAGGCUUCACACAUCCCAUUAGCAGCCCUUUCAGCCAUUGAAGACAUCCCCAUCCAAUUCUGACUUGCUUUCCUUUACAGCAGUCUUGCUCUUUUUUACGGGCAUGUAAACCAAAUUGACGUUUACUUACUGCUUUUGUUUGGUUCCUUGAUGUAACUUCUCUAAUUUAACAGCAGCUUUCCAGGCAUAGCGUUUGAAUGAAUCAGGCCAAAUAACAUUAAAGUUCACUUUCUCAAAGCUUAAACUCUGUUAUCGAGAAAAGAUGGGGGUAGAGUUUUAAAGUAUUCUUCUUAAUAUAAAACUAAACGUUUUUCUCUAGACAUAUUGUCUCGCGAUAUUUUUAAAAGCCAGCAUUAUUUUUUUUCAGGAAAGUUAAGUCAGUCUAUAACAGUGAUUCCACAGUUUACCCUGUUGUCCUGGAGUGGGUAGGAGCUUUCAGGAGUAGCUAAGGGUUUUCUUUUUCCAAAGUAAGUGUGUCAAGUUGAAAGAAAAUUACAGGUUGUGUGGGACUGAGAAGUUAGAUAAUAUAAGGGCUCUUCUAAUGAAAAAAAAAUCCAAAUUUGCAAAUACUAAACAGAUGUCUUAGUUUGAGUUUUCCAAAGCAAAUUCCAAGAGGAGAAUAUGGGUACAAUUUGCUUAUAUGAGAAGUGAUUCCAGAAGCACAACGAAAUCAUGAAGUGGUGACAUGGAGACAGAAGAAAGCCAAUAAAAGUGUGGUAAACAAUGAGGAAUACCACUCUGAUCAAUUGGGGCUCAGUCUUGCUGUGGGGCCCUCUGGUAGACAUUUUAGAUCACGCCUCAGGGUGCCAAACCAGGAGGCAAACACUGGAGUGUAUACUACUCCUAUUCCUAACAGACUGAGGAUUGUUCCUGGGGGUAGUAAUUUCCCAGCAUUUCCAGCCUUCUCUGUCUUUGCAUAUGUUCAUGGGCAGUGUAUAUUCCUUAGAAAAUCCUAAGGAAGGGAAAGGCUUAGGUGGAAGCCAUAGACGUGUACAGGAGCCAUCCAGCAAAGCCCCCGUUGAGCUCCAGUGUAAGCUUAGGGUAGAGAAGGAUACUAGAAACAUGUGACAGCUUCUCCACUAGAUAUCAAAUUGAAUAUUUAAUUAAAUAAAUCACAACAAAUCCCAAAUAUUAAAAGAUGACAAAUGUGGUCAUUUCAUACUCACCAACAUGAAGGUCGGUAUGACAGAGGAGAAGUCAGGAGAGGUGUGAUAACAGGCCUAAAUGACUGCUGCCAAGAAUCUUAUUGUUGCAAUAGUAAAAUAAUAAAGAUAAUGAUAAUAAUACCUUAUGAGCACACUGCUACAGUCUUUCUCAGUGUCUCAAAAGAGAUCUGUAUGAGAGCCCCUCAAACGUGGGCUUAAAAAACUUCUUGGUAAAUUUCCCAUGGCUGCUAUUACUGAGUUUCUCUAAUAUCCUAUGUAUGUGUAGCUCUGAAAUUAAGUUGAAUAUCAUUUUUCAAAGCAUUUCUGAACAACAGCAAGAAUAACAACAAUGAAAAAUGGAAAAAUCACUCAAAACAUUUAUUUUAAUAUAUGCACAUACUUAUGAUAAUUGAUAAGCCAUAAUUUUUUACAGCCUGGUUUAUUAUCCCAGGUACUACUGACAUUUUGAACUAAAAAGUCCUUUGGUCAGAAACAGGAGGGCUGUCCUGUGCAUUUUAGGAUGUUUACAAAUAUUAAACAGAUGCCUUAGUUUGAGUUUUCCAAAAGGAAACUCCAGGAGGAGAAUAUGGGCACAAUUUGCUUAUAUGAGAAGUGCUUCCAGAAGCACAACAAAGCCAGGAAGUGGUGACUUGGAGAAGGAAGACAGCCAAUAAAAGGAUCAUAAACAAUAGGGAAUAGGUGACACGGAGAAGGAAGACAGCCAAUAAAAGGGUCAUAAACAAUAGGGAAUACUAUCCUGAGCAAAGUAUCCCUGACCUGUACCCACUAGAUACUGAUACAUGUACCAGUACUACUAGAUACACAUCUUCCCCAGUUUAAAGAAAUAAAAGAAAGUCUCCAAACACUGACAAAUGUAAAAAACAACAACAAAAAAACACCUCCUGUUAGAAUGACUGAUUUGGAACACAGAAAAAGUUGAAAACUUAAAAAAGCAGUUCAUUUGCUUAUACACCUUAUGUCUCCCUCUAUGCUACUUAUGGAUUUAGAAAAAUUCUCUAAUUCAGUCUCUUUUAGUAUUCAAACAAGCAUAGUAUUGUGUAAAUGAGAAAAUGUUCUUAAUGACUAAACCAUAAAAUAUUGUUAAGGAUAUCAAGAAAUGAAGAUACUUUAAGGAGCUACCUAUCAUCCCACAUUAAUCGACAUACCAGAAAACAAAGAAUAUCUCCUGUAUUUAAACCAUUCUAAAAAAGAACCCAGGUAUCCUACUAAUUAUUUAACAUUGUAAGUAACAAUGGUAAGCUAAGUGCAAUGUUUAAUAUCUCUCUGGUACAAUAUAAGAUUGUUAUGAUAUGUGAUAUGUAUAUAAAAAGUAUUUAAUAUGAUAUUGACUAAUAAAAAUAGUCUUUUUAUCUUCUGCAAAACCAUAAGUGUAUGGAAAACAUUACAUUAAGCUUAACUAACAUUUAAAAAAACUACUACAGUGGAAGGAUCACUGAGCCCGGGAGGCGGAGCUUGCAGUGAGCCAAGAUCACACCACUGCAUUCCAGCCUGGGAGACAAAGUGAGACCCUGUACCCUCCCAAAAACAAAAACAAAAAACCAAACUACCGAAUUCUAUAAAACUUUUCCAAGCUCUUAAAAGUAAGCACUUUUACACAAGAUAAACUUUCUGCCCUCAAGAAUAAACAAUCAAGUGAAGGAAGAAAUACAAGUUUGUGGAUUAUAGCAAUAUAAUUAAACUUUAUAGUGCCAAAUAAUGCUAUUUCUCCCUAAUAGUAUUCUGCGAUAAGAGAUCCUUGGAGAUGUUAAGAGGUGACAAGAAAAAGUUAAAUAAUUUUCGACAAUGGAAAGCAGAUUCUCUUCUCAGAGACAUUCACAUUGUUAUAUAAAAGGCUCUGGAAGGUUUGUCGGAAGAAACGUAUAUUAAAGUUUUUCUAACCCAACAUUUUACAAGUAAUUUGAGCAGAGAACGAUUCUCUCACAACAAGAUCAAGAUUCGGUGGCUCAUCAAAUCAGAAAUAAAUGUAUUAAAGAAUUUAAUUUCCACUGAAAGAUGAGAAUACGCAUAAAGAGAGAAAUUCGAAUUUUAAGUGGACAUUAUAAAAUGGGGAGUAUUUUUCCGUAGAGGAAUGUGGAUGGAAACCACCAAAGGUAUACGAAAUACCAAGAUUAGAAAAUGCUGGUCAGGCUGGGCACUGUGGUUCAUACCCGUAAUCCCAACACUGGGAGGCCAAGGAGGGACGGUCACUUGGGCCCGGAAGUUCAGAAUCAUCCUGGAAAACAUAUCAAGACUUCACCUCUACCAGAAAUUUACAAAUUAGCUGGGCACAGUAGAAUGUACCUGUAGACCUAGCUACUUAGGAUACUGAGGUGGAAGAAUCACUUGAGCCCAGCAGUUCAAGGUGACAGUGAACUUUGAUCAGGCCACUUGAUUCCAGUCUUGGCAACAGGGUAAGACCUUGUCUGUAAAAAAAUAAAAAGCAAAAAAUAAAAUGCUAGUUAUAUUAGGAAAAAGCCUGACUGAGGUCCAAAUGCAUGUGGAAGGCUGUUUCAGCAAAGGUAACGUCCAUCUAUGCCACAGCUUGAUUGAAUUUCAAAUAAGGUUGAUGAUAAAACGUACAUUUAUUAAGGAGAUAAUUGAUGUGAUGUGCUCAGUACAAGUUUUGGCAUAUUACAAGCAUUCAAUAAACCCUACAUCUUAUUAUCAUUAAAAUAUUAAUACAUAUUGUCUGAG
rnacentral:lncRNA from 1 species